GCCAGACUCCUACGGGAGGCAGCAGUGGGGGAUAUUGCACAAUGGGGGGAACCCUGAUGCAGCGACGCCGCGUGGGUGAAGGAGCGUUUCGGCGCGUAAAGCCCUAUCGGCAGGGAAGAAGGAGGACGGUACCUGACUAAGAAGCCCCGGCUAACUACGUGCCAGCAGCCGCGGUAAUACGUAGGGGGCAAGCGUUAUCCGGAUUUACUGGGUGUAAAGGGGGCGCAGACGGCAGCGCAAGCCAGGAGUGAAAGCCCGGGGCCCAACCCCGGGACUGCUCUUGGAACUGCGCGGCUGGAGUGCAGGAGGGGCAGGCGGAAUUCCUGGUGUAGCGGUGAAAUGCGUAGAUAUCAGGAGGAACACCGGUGGCGAAGGCGGCCUGCUGGACUGCGACUGACGUUGAGGCCCGAAAGCGUGGGGAGCAAACAGGAUUAGAUACCCCUGUACC
rnacentral:rRNA from 1 species